GAACAAUUCUUGAACGCAAAUUAGCAUUUUCUUGGACACUUUGUACUAAGAGAAAUUCUGCAUUAGAAAUCUUCUCAUCCAUUUCUCCAGCUUUCUCUUUCAACUUCCGGAUGGAAGCACGUAAUGACAUCUGUUGAUUGUUAAGUCCCCCAAUAGUUUGAUGUAAUUCUUUCACUUUAGCAUCAAUCUCUUGAACAAAAGGUAUUUCCCUUUCUCUUGCUUCAUUGUACUCCACGAUCUCCGCAU
rnacentral:misc_RNA from 1 species